rnacentral:rRNA from 1 species
CCCUUAGAUGUUCUGGGCUGCACGCGCGCUACACUGAAGCGUUCAACGAGUAUUCACCUUGCCCGGGAGGGUUGGGUAAUCUUUUCAAAACGCUUCGUGAUGGGGAUAGAUUAUUGCAAUUAUUAAUCUUCAACGAGGAAUUCCUAGUAAGCGCGAGUCAUCAGCUCGUGCUGAUUACGUCCCUGCCCUUUGUACACACCGCCCGUCGCUCCUACCGAUUUAGUGAUCCGGUGAAUAAUUCGGACUGCAGCAGGCCUGGUCUCCGGGUUUUGCAGCGGAAAGUUUAGUGAACCUUAUCACUUAGAGGAAGGAGAAGUCGUAACA